UUAUAACAAUCCCUCAUCCCUUACCAAACUCUUCACUACCCCUUCUUCCAAAACCUUUCACUAUGGCUGAAGCUAUUCUCUACAACUUUACUGCAGACAUCAUAUUCACAUUGGGCUCUUCCGCACUCCAAGAGAUUGGAUCCCUAUGGCGUGUCAAUUCUGAACUUCACAAACUCAAACACUCUCUUUCUGCAAUUCAAGCCGUGCUUCACGAUGCAGAGGAGCAACAAUCCAAGAACAAUCAAGUCAAAGAUUGGGUUUUAAAGCUUCAAGAUGUUUUGUACGAGAUUGAUGACUUGAUCGACGAGUCCUCUUACCAAACCUUGAGAAGGCAAGUUCUGGCCAAACACCGUAGAUACAGAAAACAAGUACGUAUCCUCUUCUCCAAAUUUAAAUCUAAUUGGAAAAUAGGCCACAAAAUCAAGGAAAUUAGGCAGAGGCUGCAAGCUAUUAAUGAAGAUAAAAAUCAAUUUAGCUUUCGUAAGCAUGUGAUAGAGAGAAGAGAUGAUGAUGAAGGGUUGAGAAAGAGACGGGAGACUCACUCUUUUAUACUUGAAGACGAAGUGAUUGGUAGGAAUGAUGACAAGGAAGCAGUCAUAGAUCUUCUACUAAAUUCCAACACCAAAGAGGAUAUUGCAAUAGUUUCCAUUGUUGGAAUGGGAGGAUUGGGAAAGACUGCCCUUGCUCGAUCUAUUUAUAACCAUAAGAGGAUAAUGACUCGAUUUUCGUUGAAACUAUGGGUGUGUGUUUCUGACGCAUUUGAUCUCGAAAUUAUUGUCCAAAAGAUAAUAGAGUCUGCAACCGGGAAGAAGUCUGGAUACCUUCAAAUAGAUUCAUUACAAUGUGAGCUUAGAAAGCACAUUGAUGGAAAUAAAUAUUUGUUUGUCAUGGAUGAUGUGUGGAAUGAGAAAAAAGAGGAAUGGUUGCAUCUAAAAGAAUUGCUUAUGGCCGGUGCAAAGGGUAGUAGGAUUUUGAUCACAACACGCAGUGAACAAGUUGCUAAAACUUUUGACUCUACUUUUGUUCAUCCAUUACAAAUUUUGGAUGCAUCUAAUUCUUGGUUGUUGUUUCAAAAGAUGACAGGUUUGGAAGAACUUUCAAAUAAUCAAGAGGCUGAGAUUGAUCAAACGAAUUUAAACUUGAUCCAAAUUGGCAAGGAGAUUUUAUCAAGGUUAAAAGGUGUUCCGCUCGUAAUAAGAACUAUUGGAGGACUUUUAAAAGAUAAUAAAUCAGAAAGAUUUUGGUUGUCUUUCAAGGAUAAGGAACUUUAUCAAGUUUUGAGACAAGGACAAGACGCUCUAAAAGAAAUGAAAUAUAUUCUUGAGCUUAGCUAUAAAUAUCUUCCUGCUAACUUGAAGCAAUGUUUCUUAUAUUGUGCUUUGUUUCCCAAAGAUUUUGAAGUUCCAAAGAUUUCACUUAUACUAUUAUGGAGGUCACAAGGUUAUAUUCAACCAAAUGGCAAUAAGGACAAUAACCUCGUUGAUAUCGGUGAUGGUUACUUCAUGGAGUUAUUAUCAAGGUCAUUUUUUCAAGACGUUAAAAAAGAUGAUUCUGGAGACAUAGUAGCAUGUAAGAUGCAUGAUAUGAUGCAUGAUCUUGCUUGUUCGUUAACAAAUAAUGAAUGUGUGCAUGGACUGAAGGGGAAUAUCAUCAACAAAAGAACUCGUCACUUUGUUUUGGAAGACAAAGAUUAUCAUGAAGAUCAACUUAUGAGACCAUUAUCUAAGGCAACACAUUUGAGGACAUUAUUUUAUAGAAAAGAAGAAGAUGUAAUUGGUUCACAAUGGAACUUUGAAGAAACCUUCCGUAGUAUUUUCCGAUUUCGAACGGUGCACUUAGAAGGGUAUGAUCAAAACCCAAAAGCAAAAGCUUUGGAGUUUAUCGGUAAAUUUAAACAUUUGAGAUUUUUGAGUAUUACUUAUUCAAAUAUUCCGUAUCUUCCAGAUUCCAUUACGAAGUUGUAUUAUUUAGAAACAUUUUUCUUUCAAUGUUCACAUAAUUUAGAAAAUUUACCCAAUGAUGUGGGAAACUUGAUCAACCUUAAGCAUUUGGAUCUUUCUCAUAAUUCUACUUUAGAAUUCCUUCCCGAUUCUAUUACUGAGUUGUGUAAGUUGGAAGCACUUAUCCUUAAGGGUUGUGAAAAAUUAAAGAGAUUGCCGAAAAAUAUAAAAAAUUGCAACAAUCUUAGGCAACUUGAUCUUUCUCACAAUGAGAGAAUAGAAUUUCUUCCUGAUUCUAUUACUCAAUUGAUUAAUUUGGAAACACUUAUCCUCUCUUGGUGUAUAAACUUAAAAGAACUGCCAGAAGAUACUAAAAGGUUGAUCAACCUUAAGCAGCUUUAUUUGGAGAUUUGCACCGCUCUCACUCAUAUGCCAAAAGGAUUAGGUGAGCUGACUAAUCUUCAAACAUUGAAUACAUUUGUAUUGGGAAAUAAUAAGGGUGGCGAGUUAAAGGAGUUGGAUGGACUUACCAAAUUAAGAGGAAAAUUAAGCAUUGAACAUUUGGAAUUUUGUACCAAUAUCGUUGAUCAUAAAAUGAAAGGUAAGUUCUUGCAACUAAAGUCUGGUCUCCAAGAGUUGAAGUUACAUUGGGAGAAACAUACAAUUGGUGAGUUGGAGGAUGUGAUCUACGAAAGUGUUUUAGAUUGCUUACAACCACAUUCAAAUCUUCAAAAGAUAUAUAUUGAUGGAUAUGGUGGAGUGAAUUUAUGUAAUUGGGUAGUAUCCCCUAAGUUCCUUGGUUGUCUUGUCACUAUGCGUCUUUGUAAUUGUGAAAGAUUACGACAUCUCCCCAAAUUCGAUCAAUUUCCUAAUCUCAAGCAUCUUUACCUUAUAGACUUACCCAACAUCGAGUACAUUAUUGCAAAUAAUGAUGAUUCUGUUUCUUCAUCAACAAAUUUUCCAUCCUUGGAGAACUUGAUUAUUUUGAACAUGCCUAAGUUAGUGAGCUGGUGCAAGGGUACAACGUCAACCAAAUCUUCUAUAACCAAAUCUUCUAUAAUAAUAUUUCCUUACCAUUAUAUGAUAUCUCUGCAAUCUCUCCUUCUAAAGAACUGUCAAAAUUUAAAGAGCUUACCAGAAUGGAUUGGCAACCUCACCUCACUUACAAGUUUAUAUAUUAGCUUUUGUAAAAAGCUAACUAUGCUACCAGAAGGGAUUCGACAUACCCAUAAUUUAAAAUAUUUAGCGAUUUAUGAUUGUCCCAUGUUGAGAGAAAGGUGCAAGAAACACACCGGAGAAGAUUGGCCUAAGAUCUCCCAUAUUCCAAACAUCUUUCUUUGAAGAAUAUUUUAUCAGCUUCAUUGAGUCUGCCGCUGUUACAACAUGCUCUCACACAAAAGAUGUAUCGGGGAAGGAAAAAGAGCUAAUUAGCUAAGCUACCGAAAGACUUUCAUUCCGAACAAGUUUAAGCUUUUCCUUUGGCCAAUCUUUCCCUUGUGGUGAGGUGAACAUUCCGUCGACAAAGUUGUGUGUUAUCAUGGUCUCUUAGUUUAUUUGAGAUAUGAUGAGAGUGCUAAGCAUGUGUCAACCUGGUUUGAGAUAUCUAGUGCAUCUUUUAUAUGGUUCUUUAUAUGUCGUCCCUUAGUCAUUUCUUGCUACUGACACAUUAUUAUUUGUUGGGUACAUUAUUAUCUUUGAUAGUAGAAAUUUUGACUACGGUCACGUGGUUUUUUACUCAUCAA